UACGUAGGGGGCAAGCGUUGUCCGGAAUUAUUGGGCGUAAAGAGCGUGUAGGCGGUCCGGUAAGUCAGCUGUGAAAGUCAAGGGCUCAACCCUUGAAUGCCGGUUGAUACUGUCGGGCUAGAGUCCGGAAGAGGCGAGUGGAAUUCCCGGUGUAGCGGUGAAAUGCGUAGAUAUCGUAAGGAAGACCAGUGGCGAAGGCGGGUCUCUGGACAGUUCCUGACGCUGAGGCACGAAGGUCAGGGGAGCAAACGGGG
rnacentral:rRNA from 1 species